UUUUUUCAAUAAUUUCUUAAAUUCAAUGUGUUUUUCUUAGAAUUGGUUAAAAUUAUAUGUGCAUUGGCUGAUAUAUUUCUGCUGUCACUGUGAUAUUUCUGCUUAUUUUCAUUUAAAUUUGCAUAGAUAUUUUAAUAAUAUUUUGUUGUUUUUAAGUGGGAUGCUUAUAUGGCUAAAAGAAGCCUCAAUGACCUAAAGAAAGAAAUGACUUCUGAUGUGCCAAUUUUAUCUGAAGGUCCAAACCAAUUUCCUGACAAAGAAUU